UACGAAGGGGGCUAGCGUUGUUCGGAAUCACUGGGCGUAAAGCGCACGUAGGCGGACUUUUAAGUCAGGGGUGAAAUCCCGGGGCUCAACCCCGGAACUGCCUUUGAUACUGGAAGUCUUGAGUCCGAGAGAGGUGAGUGGAACGUCCAAGUUGUAGGGGUGAAAUUCGAGAUAUUCGGAGAACACCAGGUGGCGAAGGCGGCUCACUGGCUCGGUACUGACGCUGAGGUGCGAAAGCGUGGGGAGCAAACAGGAUUAGAUACC
rnacentral:rRNA from 1 species